rnacentral:rRNA from 1 species
UGGGGAAUUUUGGACAAUGGGGGCAACCCUGAUCCAGCAAUGCCGCGUGAGUGAAGAAGGCCUUCGGGUUGUAAAGCUCUUUUGUCAGGGAAGAAACAGCUGCUUUAACACAGUCUGUGAAUGACGGUACCUGAAGAAUAAGCACCGGCUAACUACGUGCCAGCAGCCGCGGUAAUACGUAGGGUGCAAGCGUUAAUCGGAAUUACUGGGCGUAAAGCGUGCGCAGGCGGUUAUACAAGACAGGCGUGAAAUCCCCGGGCUUAACCUGGGAAUGGCGUCUGUGACUGUAUAGCUAGAGUGUGUCAGAGGGGGGUAGAAUUCCACGUGUAGCAGUGAAAUGCGUAGAUAUGUGGAGGAACACCAAUGGCGAAGGCAGCCCCCUGGGAUAACACUGACGCUCAUGCACGAAAGCGUGGGGAGCAAACCAGGAUUAGAUACCCCUGGUAGUCCACGCCCUAAACGAUGCCGACUAGUUGUUGGGAAUUUACAGCCUCAGUAACGAGCUAACGCGUGAAGUCUCCGCCUG